rnacentral:rRNA from 1 species
UACAGAGGGUGCAAGCGUUAAUCGGAAUUACUGGGCGUAAAGGGCCUGUAGGUGGUCGACUAAGUCGGUUGUGAAAACCAUGGGCUCAACCUGUGGCUGUCAUCCGAGACUAGUCGACUAGAGUUGAGUAGAGGAGAGUGGAAUUUCCGGUGUAGCGGUGAAAUGCGUAGAUAUCGGAAGGAACACCAGUGGCGAAGGCGGCUCUCUGGACUCAAACUGACACUGAGGGGCGAAAGCAUGGGUAGCAAACAGG